rnacentral:lncRNA from 1 species
GGAAAUGUCAAGUUUAAACUCUGGUUCCUUCAACAGCUUUACAGUCCUUUCCAUUCCUCCCAUCUGCUCCUGACACAUUUUAUGGAAAUAAAUGAAGUAUGAACAGCACGUGCCCCCAGUGGCUGGGGGGACAUGGCAGCAACAGGAACAGGGCAGUGUCUUUCAGAAUACUUAAUCUGCCCUCACAACAGCUGUUUAGUAUUUGUGGAAAUAUCUCAAGCCCUAGGAUCUGCACUGGAAGCUUUGGCAUCACCAUCCAAAAGCAAUGCAAGAUGCUGGGCUGCGUUCUGGUCAGUCUGCAUGUUCGCAGCGAGUGAGAUCUCGGAAUGGCGUGUGCUCAUUGAGCCUUGCUUCAGUUCCAUGGCAGAUGCCAUGCUUGGCACAGGAAGUACCAGCCAUGCAAGCAAAGCCAAGCUCUCUAGGAAAACUCUUAAAGAAACAUCCUGCAGGUUAAAGAGACCCUGUCAAUAAUGGCUGCUUCUCCCAACUGGUACAACCACAAAAGACACCAAACCAGUCCUUGCUCCUAAGUAUGCCCAGAAUAAACCAAGAUCUAACAUUACA